rnacentral:rRNA from 1 species
AUGAUUUGUGGUUAGGAGUGAAAGGCUAAUCAAACUCAGAGAUAGCUGGUUUUCUGCGAAAUCUAUUUAAGUAGAGCGUUUUUUUUUAUUUGUUGUGGUAGAGCUCUCGAUAAGCUAGGGGGUUUUAAAAAUUUACCAAACUUAAUGAAACUACGAAUACGACAAACAAAAUUAAAGCAGACAGAUAUUAGGUGCUAAGAUCUUUUAUCAAAAGGGAAACAACCCUCAUUACUCGUUAAGGUCUUAAAUAAUUUUUAAGUGAAAAAUAUGAUAAUUAAACUAUGACAAUCAUUUGGUAGGCUUGGAAGCAGCCAUCCUUUAAAGAUAGCGUAAUAGCUCAUGAAUCUAGUUUUCUUAUGUUGAUGAUGUAUAGAGACUCAAAAAAUUAACCGAAGUGGUAAAUCAAAACGAUGGUAGCAGAACGUUCUGUAUUUUAGCGAAGAAAAGCUGUAAAGUUUUUUGAAGAAAUCAGAAGUGAAUAUACUAGCAUGAGUAGCGAAAAACAGUGUGCAAAACAUUGUCGCCGUAAGCCUAAGGGUUCUAAAACAAGGCUAAUCCUUUUUAGUAAAAAUCGAAUGAUUUUGAUAUAAGACGACCCCUAAGGUAACAUACUAAUGUUUGUGCUAAUGGGAAAUUUUUAAUAUUU